rnacentral:rRNA from 1 species
AUGACGGUACCGUAAGAAUAAGCACCGGCUAACUACGUGCCAGCAGCCGCGGUAAUACGUAGGGUGCGAGCGUUAAUCGGAAUUACUGGGCGUAAAGCGUGCGCAGGCGGUUAUAUAAGACAGAUGUGAAAUCCCCGGGCUCAACCUGGGAAUUGCAUUUGUGACUGUAUAGCUAGAGUACGGUAGAGGGGGAUGGAAUUCCGCGUGUAGCAGUGAAAUGCGUAGAUAUGCGGAGGAACACCGAUGGCGAAGGCAAUCCCCUGGACCUGUACUGACGCUCAUGCACGAAAGCGUGGGGAGCAAACAGGAUUAGAUACCCUGGUAGUCCACGCCCUAAACGAUGUCAACUGGUUGUUGGGU